UCCUGUUUGUAGCCAAUGAUGCAGCCGGCCUUCUUAGAUUCGGGAGAUAAGCCCCUCCCACAGGGCUAUCGACUUUACCAGCUCUUAGUUUAAAGGGUCCGGAUCUCCCUACAUGGUUGGAGAUCUGUUUAAGCUGGUGUUGAGGAAACUCGCCUGUCUGUCUCACUGCCGUCCCUCCUGUCUGUCUCACUGCCGUCCCUCCUGUCUGUCUCACUGCUUCCACUGACGACUUCACUCGACCGGGACCCUCUCGCGUCAGUUAAAUGCAGCUUUCCUCUAAAGGACCUUCAGGCUCUUGAGGUGCCAGUUCCACAGGCCUCCGCGGGAUUUUCUCCCUUUGAACUGUUGUUUGUCAGGACUCCGCGGGGGGUGCUCGAGCAAAGCUCCACACGCUGGGUCGGCCCUCACACGAGAAUUUGCUCCAGGCCCACAACGGCUGUACAACAGAGGGGCCAGGCUGAGACAAUUCACGCUGGGAGAGAAGGACGUAUUAACCUCAUAGCGAUUGAGACUCCUCCGGGCGUGACGGUGCGGUCACGACCCUACAGGUUACGGUAGCUGAGGUAUGGUAUCUGGGGUACCACUUGGGCAGUGGGCAGGUGCACCCUCAGGUGGACAAAACAAUCGCUAUUGCAGCCUGCCCAAGACUAACAAAGGAGUGAGGCCAUUUCUGGGGCUGGCAGGUUACUACAGGCGGUUCAACUCAAACUUUGCAGAGCUGACCAGCCCCUUGACUGACUUGACUCGGAAAGGUGCCUCAGAUCCAGUCCAGUGGACGGAGCAGUGCCAGUUGGUGUUUGAGAAGGUAAAACAAGCUCUCUGCGAGGAGCCAUUCCUUCAUACACCUAACUUCUCUCUCCCUUUUACUGUGCAGACUGGCACAUCGAACAGAGGGCUGGGGGCCGUUUUCUCCCAGCAGGUACAGGGGGGGGGGGUUCUGUACCCCUUCACUUCCUCUCUUUGGAGCCUGUGCGGAUGGAAGUAAAAGAUGACAUCAACCUUGCCGUGUCUGAUGCUCACUUGCAAGAUGGAGAAACAAUUAAGACAGCUCCUUGAGUCCAACUCAAAAGGUGGAGCUGGAACCAGCAACUGAAGAGGAACCAAACCAGCGUGGACAAAAUGAAGAGAACGGCAGCUUUAAGGAACCAAGAGAACAAAAACCAGGAGGAAGAGGAAAAGGGAGGAGCAGGAGGAAGAGGAGAAAGAGAAAGGGGAGGAGGACUUCUUCCGAGUAUUUCUACGACAGUCUGCUGCCGACACACACUUAUAAAUAGCUCACCAUUAAAUUAAGUCAAAUCCAA